rnacentral:lncRNA from 1 species
GCUAGACGAGCCGGGAGAUGAGAUUGACGAUCUGGAUCGUUAGGCGAGCUGAAGAGCUUGAAGACGAGCUGAAGAGCUUGAUGACGAACUGAGGAGCUUGAAGACGAGAUGAAUAGCUUGCAGACGAGCUGAAGAGCUUGAUGACGAGCUGAAGAGCUUGAUGACGAGCUGAAGAGCUUGCAGACGAGCUGAAGAGCUUGAUGACGAGCUGAAGAGCUUGAUGACGAGCUGAAGAGUUUGAUGACGAGCUGAAGAGCUUGAAGACGUUUUUAGUAUG